rnacentral:rRNA from 1 species
AUACGUAGGUGGCAAGCGUUGUCCGGAUUUACUGGGUGUAAAGGGCGUGUAGGCGGAGAUGCAAGUCAGGAGUGAAAUCUAGGGGCUCAACCCCUAAACUGCUUUUGAAACUGUAUCCCUUGAGUAUCGGAGAGGCAGGCGGAAUUCCUAGUGUAGCGGUGAAAUGCGUAGAUAUUAGGAGGAACACCAGUGGCGAAGGCGGCCUGCUGGACGACAACUGACGCUGAGGCGCGAAAGCGUGGGGAGCAGACAGGAUUAGAUACCCUGGUAGUCCACGCUGUAAACGAUGAAUACUAGGUGUGGGGGGACUGACCCCCUCUGUGCCGCAGUUAACACAAUAAGUAUUCCGCCUGGGGAGUACGGCCGCAAGGUUGAAACUCAAAUGAAUUGACGGGG